AGGGUUUAUCACUGCUGUCAAACAGAACAAAAGCCACGCUUAGAAGGUAAUCGGCCGGUAACUUUUGUAGAUAAUUCUAUGGAAGAUAGGGUGUCUUUGUUCACUAAUGCAGAAAAAGUUGUGAUAACAAGACUUAUACAGGUGACCCAAAACAAGCAGUGAUAAUUUCAUGACUGAGAGGAGCAGGAGGACCUGGCUCACUCGCCCCAUCCCUCCUAUUGUGACUCACACCACCCUCCCCACACCACUGUCCAUGUAUUAGAGGUUGCAUCUGCAGUCCGAAUGUAUAUAGGCUCAUCCCAAGAGUUGGAACUCUGAAAACAUAAGGUUCCACCUCAUGGGGCCAGACUUUGUGUGUUUGACAGGCUGCCCCACUGCACUCAACAAAUGGAUGGCAUGGGGAGUGGCUGGUACAGGGCCUGGGUGAGGGUUUAGGUGUGGUGCCCUCACUAUGGAAAUUUGGCAGCCCAACUCUUUAUUGGUUUUUUAGAAGAUCAGUAAAGACCAUAAUGUACCAGUGUGCAUUUGGGGACCCUAUUAUAAACUAAACCCCUGGUGAAACCCAGAGGUCUGUGACUGGAUCUCUCACACCAUCCAAAACUCUAAAUAGGGAAAGUUCUAUUAAUCCUUUCCACCAAAACCAUUAUACCAAUCUGAAUCCACCCUGCCACAACCUGCUAUUUACAGUGCAGGAUAAAAUGUAUUAGAACCAUUAGAAAAGCACCCUACCCCAGAGAGUGCAUACUAGGUAAUUUCGAUUUAAAAUUCAAAGUGGAUUAAUUUCUCCCUCGUGCAUAUUUGAGGCAUGGUAAGAUUCCUACAAGAGAGGCUCUUUCCCAGCUUUUUGUAGAAAUGGGCCUUCUUCCCCAAUGCCCCCUCCCACAGAUCACAUAAUUAUGUAACUAGUUCUCUUUCAUAACUGAACUUUGAAUUGCUGUGCCAGGUGAUAACUGAAUGUUUACCAGGAUGUGGUAAAUGCCAGAAGUGAUGGGAUCUGGCACUGACCAGUUCUUGGAGGAUUUUCAAUUUUUCAUCAUUCUCCAAGGAUCUGUCAACUGGUGUCAUGGGAAUAUAAGAGUCCGGUUAUGCAAGUUGUGAAGAAAUGGUUCCAUGUCAGAAAAACCCUAAGUGUGUCUGCUCAGAAGUAGUAGAGAAAGGUGAGAAAGUGUGUAUCUUUCUAUAAUAUCAGAACACAGGAACAUGUGCUGAAGCUGAAUGUUGGAAGAGUCAGGACACAAAAAAAUGAAGUAUUCAUUCACAUAGCAUAUAAUCAAAUAAUUUGAUUCACUCGCAUGAGAUGUAGUGAUGGCCAGCAACUUGAAUGGAUUUAUAAGAUAGCCUUAUCCUUCAUGAAUUUGUCUAACUCUCAGUAGCUACUAGGCAUGAUGGCAAUGUUCUGCCUCCACUAUCAGAGGCAGUAAGCUGCUGAAAACCAGGUGCUAUUAUUUUAAAGAAUGAAAUCAAGGAAGCAUUUGAAAUGUUGUAAUAGUGGGUGACUUCUACUACCUUCAUAUAGACUGGCCAGUGGCAUAGCAUUGAUUGCUAGCAGUUGGGGCACGCGCACCUGCCAGGCAGAGUGUGCCAGCCGAGCCCACAACGCCAAGGCUGCCAGAGCAACCCCACUAGAGCAAAGUGGGGCUGUGAUGAGCUGCCUGCCCUCCCGUGCAGGGGGAGCCCAGCCAGUUAAUGCGGCCCUUGGCAGGCAGUAAGAAGCACUGAGCUGUUCUGCACUGGGGGUGCCUACAUGGGGGGCACCUGGUUCAUGCCCCCUCAAAAAUUGUGUGCCAGGGACCGUGGCCUCUCUGGCAUCCCCCACACUACACCCCUGAGACUGGCUACAUAUGUGUUCCAAUCAAGACAAACAGAUUAAAUUGUUAAAGGGAACUGCCUUUCCUACUCUGUCUACAGUUAUGCCUAUACACUGGCUGUUGGAUUAUGACAUCAUAACAUGUCACACUGUGCUUAUACCCACUGAUUCCUGAUUGGCUGACUCCAAUCAUUUAUGAGGUCACAGAAGGUGUGUUAAAUAGCUCCUUAGGAAAUUCAUUGUUGGUGGAGAUACAAGGUUACAUUUCACCCAGAACUGAUGCCAGGCUGGUGAUGGUAACUUUUUUCCACGCUAUCUCCCCAGUUCUUGUACCCCUGAAUAUCUUUCAACCUCACUUCCGAAGAAGCAGCUGAAUUCACAAUCCCAGUGGUCUCCCACCGAAUGGAAAACUUGGUAGCAUUGCUCCUAAAGCUUCCCAAUACUUGGAGAAAAGGUAAUUUUGCAUAGGAAUUCAAAUAAGCUGAAUUCCUCAAGUGUUUCUAUCUUAAGUGUGCUUCACAUCAUCAACUUAGAAAGCUACUUCUGUUCCUUCCUAGCAAUCACUGCUGAGAACAAAGGAGAGUGUCAGCUGUUCCUUUGCACUGAGCAAAUGCACGUGUAAUAGGUGCCACAUUGAAAAGGAUAUUCUAGCCAACUAUUUCCAGACCAGUAUUCAGAAGUAGUUCAUCUCUAAGCCAGCAAUGGUUUAAUACCAAACAACAAUAGAUUCCCAUGCCAACUCCUUUAUCAGAAUUAUGAAUCUAAAGUCCAUAACUGAUUGUGGUGGUCCUUAAGUAAGGAGCAUGCAUGUGAGAACUCAAUACUCAAUCCUUUGUCUCUGCUUUAUACAGGGUAAGUGCAAGGCAGCAAUGAUGGGUGGGUCAGGAUGAGCAGAUCUAAUGACAGGUGUCUGGUUGAUAUGCAGUAGAUCAGCAAGGAUAUGUGGCUCUCAGAGUUGUUUUAACAAUAGGGACAAUGAAAUGGCUCCUCACCUUGCUCCUUCGACUGUUGAAAUGAAGAAUGCUGGGAAAGCAGAUUUUGAGUGAAAAGACUGAGCCCAGCUCAGUUCUGAGCAGUAGCUCAGAAGCACCAUGCUCUUUAAUU